rnacentral:tRNA from 1 species
GCUUGGGUGGCUUAGUCGGUUGAGUGUCUGACUUUGGCUCAGGUCAUGGUCUCAUGGAUCGUGAGUUCAAGCCUCAUAUCAGGCU